UACGUAGGGGGCAAGCGUUGUCCGGAUUUAUUGGGCGUAAAGAGCGUGUAGGCGGCCAGGUAGGUCGGUUGUGAAAACUGGAGGCUUAACCUCCAGACGUCGACCGAAACCCCCUGGCUAGAGUCCGGAAGAGGAGAGUGGAAUUCCUGGUGUAGCGGUGAAAUGCGCAGAUAUCAGGAAGAACACCCGUGGCGAAAGCGGCUCUCUGGGACGGUACUGACGCUGAGACGCGAAAGCGUGGGGAGCGAACAGG
rnacentral:rRNA from 1 species